rnacentral:rRNA from 1 species
CACGCACGCUGGCGGCAGGCCUAACACAUGCAAGUCGAGCGCGCCCUUCGGGGUGAGCGGCGGACGGGUGAGUAACGCGUGGGAACGUGCCCUUUUCUACGGAAUAGCCUCGGGAAACUGAGAGUAAUACCGUAUACGCCCUUUGGGGGAAAGAUUUAUCGGAAAAGGAUCGGCCCGCGUUGGAUUAGGUAGUUGGUGGGGUAAUGGCCUACCAAGCCGACGAUCCAUAGCUGGUUUGAGAGGAUGAUCAGCCACACUGGGACUGAGACACGGCCCAGACUCCUACGGGAGGCAGCAGUGGGUAAUCUUAGACAAUGGGGGCAACCCUGAUCUAGCCAUGCCGCGUGAGUGAUGAAGUCCUUAGAGUUGUAAAGCUCUUUCAGCUGGGAAGAUAAUGACGGUACCAGCAGAAGAAGCCCCGGCUAACUCCGUG